rnacentral:rRNA from 1 species
CUACGUGCCAGCAGCCGCGGUAAUACGGAAGGUUCGGGCGUUAUCCGGAUUUAUUGGGUUUAAAGGGAGCGUAGGCCGGAGAUUAAGUGUGUUGUGAAAUGUAGACGCUCAACGUCUGACUUGCAGCGCAUACUGGUUUCCUUGAGUACGCACAACGUUGGCGGAAUUCGUCGUGUAGCGGUGAAAUGCUUAGAUAUGACGAAGAACUCCGAUUGCGAAGGCAGCUGACGGGAGCGCAACUGACGCUGAAGCUCGAAGGUGCGGGUAUCGAACAGGAUUAGAUACCCUGGUAGUCCGCACAGUAAACGAUGGAUGCCCGCUGUUGGUACCUAGUAUCAGCGGCUAAGCGAAAGCAUUAAGCAUCCCACCUGGGGAGUACGCCGGCAACGGUGAAACUCAAAGGAAUUGACGGGGGCCCGCACAAGCGGAGGAACAUGUGGUUUAAUUCGAUGAUACGCGAGGAACCUUACCCGGGCUUGAAUUGCC